rnacentral:rRNA from 1 species
CCUAUCAGCUAGUUGGUGAGGUAAGAGCUCACCAAGGCAACGACGGGUAGCUGGUCUGAGAGGACGAUCAGCAACACUGGAACUGAGACACGGUCCAGACACCUACGGGUGGCAGCAGUCGAGAAUCAUUCACAAUGGACGAAAGUCUGAUGGUGCAACGCCGCGUGGAGGAUGACGGCCCUAGGGUUGUAAACUCCUGUCAUCAGGGAGUAAGACUUAUUCGUUAAUAGCGUGUAAGUUUGAUAGUACCUGAAGAGGAAGGGACGGCUAACUUCGUGCCAGCAGCCGCGGUAAUACGAAGGUCCCAAGCGUUGUUCGGAAUAACUGGGCGUAAAGCGUGUGUAGGCCGCGCGGAAAGUCGGAUGUGAAAGCCCAAGGCUUAACCUUGGAACUGCAUUCGAUACUCC